GACGAACGCUGGCGGCGUGCUUAACACAUGCAAGUCGAACGGAAAGGCCCUGCUUUUGUGGGGUGCUCGAGUGGCGAACGGGUGAGUAACACGUGAGUAACCUGCCCUUGACUUUGGGAUAACUUCAGGAAACUGGGGCUAAUACCGGAUAGGAGCUCCUGCUGCAUGGUGGGGGUUGGAAAGUUUCGGCGGUUGGGGAUGGACUCGCGGCUUAUCAGCUUGUUGGUGGGGUAGUGGCUUACCAAGGCUUUGACGGGUAGCCGGCCUGAGAGGGUGACCGGCCACAAUGGGAAUGGGGUACGGCCCAGACUCCUACGGGAGGCAGCAGGGGGGAAUAUUGCAAAAUGGGCGGAAGCCUGAUGCAGCAACGCCGCGUGCGGGAUGACGGCCUUCGGGUUGUAAACCGCUUUCGCCUGGGACGAAGCGUGAGUGACGGUAAUGGGUAAAGAAGCACCGGCUAACUACGUG
rnacentral:rRNA from 1 species